GGAGAGGUGUCAGUGAUGACUGUGUGUUUGGAUGGAAUGAUCAGUCCUGGAUUCUGAGCUGCUCUGAUGAUGAUGGUUACUCUGUCUGGCACAAUAAGGAACAAACAUCCACCUCCUCCUCCUCCUCCUUUGUCUCUAACAGAGUAGCAGUGUAUGUGGAUGUUCCUGCUGGCUCUCUGUCCUUCUACACAGUCUCCUCUGACU